GGAAUAGCUCAGUGGUAGAGUGCAUGCCUACCAUGCACCAGGUCCUGGGUGCAAUCCCCAGUACUUCCA
rnacentral:tRNA from 1 species